GCAAGAAAUGAACAUUGUUGUAGGGCUGCUCCCCUGUUCUAGUAAUUAAACUUUGAGACAUUAAGACAUGAGUUACGGGAGAUGAUUGGGUAGUAAGCAUUUCUCUAUUCAUUUCCCUCCUGGCCUACAAUA